UUAGGGUUCCUCUUUUAAGACAGUAGAACUUAUAAAAUCCAUUUCCCUCUUUCUCUGUCCAUCCAUUUCUCCCUCUUUUUUUCUUUUUCUUCUUUUUUAUCCUCUCAAAAUCCUUUUUCUGUUGCAGAAUUUACUCCUUUUUAGUUUUGUGGAGUAUGCCAAAAGCUGGGGUUUUUCCUGGUUAACUAAGGCCUAUUUUUGGGUGGGUUGAACUUAUAUCAGUACUAGCAGAUUAGAGGUUCUCUCAAGUUUCAGACAUAUUUGAGUUCCUAUCUUGGAACAAUGAUGAUGUUUGACGAGAUGGAAUUUGUGGGGAUAUGGAUUUCUUCAGUGCUCCACUUGGGGAAAAAGAUGUGGCAGCCUCACAAAUUGAACCAGAGGCGACGGUGGAGGAUGAUUAUAGUGAAGAAGAAAUUGAUGUGGAUGAACUUGAGAGGAGGAUAUGGAGGGACAAAAUGCGUCUCAAACGGCUUAAAGAGCAAAAUAAGUGCAAGGAGGGGAUUGAUAUUGCUAAACAGCGCCUGUCACAAGAACAGGCAAGGAGAAAGAAGAUGUGUGGGUUCUCACGGCUGUGAUCAAGCAUAUAUGCUCGUUUUCUUUAGUUUACCUUCUGCUACGCGAUUGGAAUGGGAAUGGGUCAGAAGAUUUCUUUCUGACCAUUAAAAAUCAAUGUUCAAACUUUUUGAUGUUGUAAAAUUAUAUAACAUAUGGAUUAUGAUGUAGAAUUUCAUUUUCAUCUAACCUUUUCUUAAUAUAAGUUAAUUAUGUUUAUGCAGAAUAUAA